rnacentral:rRNA from 1 species
UACGUAGGGCGCAAGCGUUGUCCGGAAUUAUUGGGCGUAAAGAGCUCGUAGGCGGUCUGUCGCGUCGGUCGUGAAAACUUGGGGCUUAACCCUGAGCUUGCGGUCGAUACGGGCAUGACUGGAGUUCGGCAGGGGAGACUGGAAUUCCUGGUGUAGCGGUGAAAUGCGCAGAUAUCAGGAGGAACACCGAUGGCGAAGGCAGCUCGCUGGGACGGUACUGACGCUGAGGCGCGAAAGCGUGGGGAGCGAACAGG